AACGAACGCUGGCGGCAUGCCUAACACAUGCAAGUCGAACGAGACCUUCGGGCCUAGUGGCGCACGGGUGCGUAAAGCGUGGGAACCCGCCCUUAGGUUCGGAAUAACUCCCCGAAAGGGGUGCUAAUAACGGAUAAUGUCUUCGGACCAAAGAUUUAUCGCCUUUGGAUGGGCCCGCGUUGGUUUAGUUAGUUGGUAGGGUAAAAGCUUACCAAGGCGGCGUUCCAUAGCUGGUCUGAGAGGAUGAUCAGCCACCCUGGAUAUGAGACACGGCCCAGACUCAGACGGGAGGCAGCAGUGGGGAAUAAUGGACGAUGGGCGGAAGCCUGGUCCAGCAAUGCCGCGUGAGUGAUGAAGGCCUUAGGGUUGUAAAGCUCUUUUACCCGGGAUGUUAAUGACAGUACCGGGAGAAUAAGCUCCGGCUAACUCCGU
rnacentral:rRNA from 1 species